rnacentral:rRNA from 1 species
UGCUCAUUGACGUUACCCGCAGAAGAAGCACCGGCUAACUCCGUGCCAGCAGCCGCGGUAAUACGGAGGGUGCAAGCGUUAAUCGGAAUUACUGGGCGUAAAGCGCACGCAGGCGGUUUGUUAAGUCAGAUGUGAAAUCCCCGGGCUCAACCUGGGAACUGCAUCUGAUACUGGCAAGCUUGAGUCUCGUAGAGGGGGGUAGAAUUCCAGGUGUAGCGGUGAAAUGCGUAGAGAUCUGGAGGAAUACCGGUGGCGAAGGCGGCCCCCUGGACGAAGACUGACGCUCAGGUGCGAAAGCGUGGGGAGCAAA